rnacentral:rRNA from 1 species
AGCCGCCGCGGUAAUACGUAGGGACCAAGCGUUGUUCGGAUUUACUGGGCGUAAAGGGCGCGUAGGCGGCAGUUCAAGUCAGUUGUGAAAUCUCCGAGCUUAACUCGGAACGGUCAACUGAUACUGUUUUGCUAGAGUGCAGAAGGGGCAAUCGGAAUUCUUGGUGUAGCGGUGAAAUGCGUAGAUAUCAAGAGGAACACCUGAGGUGAAGACGGGUUGCUGGGCUGACACUGACGCUGAGGCGCGAAAGCUAGGGUAGCAAACGGG